UGGGGAAUAUUGGACAAUGGGCGAAAGCCUGAUCCAGCCAUGCCGCGUGUGUGAAGAAGGUCUUCGGAUUGUAAAGCACUUUAAGUUGGGAGGAAGGGCAGUAAGCGAAUACCUUGCUGUUUUGACGUUACCGACAGAAUAAGCACCGGCUAACUCUGUGCCAGCAGCCGCGGUAAUACAGAGGGUGCAAGCGUUAAUCGGAAUUACUGGGCGUAAAGCGCGCGUAGGUGGUUCGUUAAGUUGAAUGUGAGAGCCCCGGGCUCAACCUGAGAACUGCAUCCAAAACUGGCGAGCUAGAGUAGGGCAGAGGGUGGUGGAAUUUCCUGUGUAGCGGUGAGAUGCGUAGAUAUAGGAAGGAACACCAGUGGCGAAGGCGACCACCUGGGCUCAUACUGAAACUGAGGUGCGAAAGCGUGGGGAGCAAACAGG
rnacentral:rRNA from 1 species